UGGUUGGCCCACCCGGUAUCUGAUCACUAGCCUUUUUUUACUUGAUAGUGGGGGGCUUCGCAGUCAGCUUACGCCUUUUCAUUUUGGAAUAUGUGAUUGCAAGCAAAUGGUUUCUUAGAGAUGGUGCGGGGAUGGUGGUCUACUUAUGCAGUUACAGGCUCGCCUAGUUAUAUGUUAGCACAGAGGCUAAAAUUGCUUAAAAGGGAUUUGAAAACCUGUAAUAGAGAGGUGUUUGGUCGUUUAGAAGGUCAGAGAGAAGCAGUGGCGUCCUUAUUAUCUUUGUUGGAUGACGUAAAGGCUGAAAGGGGCUCAUCGCCAGAGGAUUCGCCGCACUUCUGACACUUCCGUUGCCAGACACAGCACUGUCGGAGACCACCACACCAGAUUCAGGUCACGCCCAGCAAUAACCCACCGCCGUCGCAGCAAGGUCUCAACCUGUCGUCGUGUCGGCAGAACAAACAAAAAGUCUUGGCCCCCAAUUGGUCAGUUUUCCACUUUCCCGAACUCCUUCCACCAACGACCGACCCAUUCUGUCAUGGCUAAAAAACCCAGCCCCUUGUCCCCUCUCAAACCCACUUUACCCACUAUCGCCCAGUUCAGAUAUUGGAACCACCCUUCCUCCGCCACACCAUUCACCACCUCAACUCCUCCAAUUGGGCCGAUUGUCCACUCAAGCUUUGGAACAGCCCUUUUCUCGAUCAUCACCCCCUUGUCCUCACCCCCCUUCGACCCCCCUUUCGGCCCUAUAGCAAAACCUUCAAUAACCAGUGUUCCCCCUCUCAUCCAUGCGCAAACUCCGACAUAGGAAGGUAAAUCUGAGUCCUUUUGCCUUCCAAUGUCACCACGAUCUGCACCGAAGAACCACCAUUGUCCUCGCCGAGAAGCCAGGUUGCCACGCUUCGUCCCUUCCCUUCUAGCCAGCCUAAAAAAGAAUAACGAUCGGACAUGCGGGACGCCGUCCUCAGUUUCCUGGCGGUCCAUUGUACUUCAAACCCCGAUAGCAUGACCUCCCGCCGCAGCCCUUGCCCCCGCUCCACAAUAGACAAUUGGCGGUGGCCUCUGUGAUCUGCAAUUGCUUCUUCAAACUCAAAGGACCUACCUCCAAGGAAAAGGAUUCGGUGACGUGGUCCCGUCGCCGCCUUCACCGGAAUCAUCCCAGGUAACUAAUGCAUCCCACUGGAAAUUCUUAAUAAGGAAAGUCUUAGAGAGAGUAGUAAAUAAAAAUAUAAGAAGCCUUCACACAAGACAUCAAUAAUGCUUAAGAGUCCAAUUCUAACUCUGGUUGAUUUCAAUCACUUAAUAGUUGAUACGCUUAUAAUGGGUUGUGCAUGCUCAUUGUCAAGAGUAGUCCCAUACCAUUACUUUGCAUCAAUCGAUUCGCAGCGUGAAUGAUUAGAACCAUUAGGCCACCAAAGAGUUUGACCAUCAAAAUUGACCUAUAUUUUGUAUUCUUUGGUAUAGACACUUUUCACUAGGUUGGUUUGAGUAUUCUCAGGAAUCUGGGGCUUUGGCCUACAAAGGAGAUCCCAAUGGAAACAUGUAAAUUUUUUUUGGGGUGGGCCAAUCCUCUUUCUCUAGUUACAAAAGAAGAAACAGCAGAAGGGUGAAGAUAUCACAGAUUCAUAAUAGUACCAUGAGUUGCAGAAAAGAACCUUCUAAAGUACCAAAAUGUGGUAAUUACUUUUCCACUUUUGAUUUCUUAAUUUAAUAAAAUUGCUAUGGGAAUGUGAUAUGUUCUUUAUCAUUGUUCAGUGAGAUUUUAUUUGCUCUCUAUGAUAUGUUGGACCAACAGAGUUUUCAGUUUUUACACUUUCGAGGUUUUUCACCAUCCUAAUGUAGGCAGUUUUCUACAUUCCUGACCUAGAAUGAGAUUUAUUUGAUUUUGGCAAUAUAAAACUGUGAUUGCCAGAGCUAAUUAUAUUAUGAUACUGCUGUAAAAAUUCUUGUGGAACAGGGAUUUGAACGAGCUUCAGAUAUUAUUUUUGCAAUGCCAGAAGAUAUUGAGAAAAGGGCUUACAUAUUCUGCUAGUCUGGCUCGAGCUUGGGCUGCCGAUUGUUGUCUAAUCAACUUUGUUUCUUCUUUUAAUGAUUGUGAUUGGCAGAACAAAUCAAUAAUGUGGAUCAAUUUUUAAUGUUGAGCAGAUUAUCAAAGUCAUCUAAUUGUGGAGAAGCUACUGUCUUUUUAGUCCACCAAGAAGUUAUGGUGAGCCGGAUGAGCAAUGUGGAUGAAUUGCUUACCCGUUCCCACUAGACUGAUACAUAUAAGCUUAUUCAAAAGCAUGGACACAUUUUAUUUUUCAUUUAAACCAAUGAAAUGCUGCUUGACCUGAAUUGCAUCAUUAUAUUUCUUUUGCUCAGUAUGGAUUGGUACUCACUGAUUGGAAACUAGCAUUAGAUCUUUGCAGGAACGAAUCUUCAAUGCAGGAUAGCUUCCAUUUGAAGUCACAAAGUAAUGAAUCAUAGCUAGGGUUUCGAUUCUGUCAAGCUCAUACCCAGGACACAUUCUGGAAGAUGUUCUCCUCCAUGUGAGUCAUGCUUGCUGCCCAUACCACCUGAGUAUCAGAAUUCUAUGUCGGUACUAGCUAUUUUCUUAAUACUACAUGCAUUAAUUUCGCUGAUAGAGCUUCUUUGAAGGAAACAUUAAACUAUAUUUGCACAUACUUGCCAUCGUUUUGGUAUUAGGUGUCUUUCCUAUUCUGCAUCUUUGAGUUGAGAGCCUAUUCUGUAUCUUUGAGUUGAGAGCCCUCCUAAAGGUGCAGAACACAGGAGGGUCAUCCUUAGAGUCUCCAUUGCUACUCUCCAUGUGUGCAUUUGACAAGUGCAUCCCACAUGAGAAGCUCCCCGUAGAGCCUUGCUCUUUGCAAUCUCUCUCUUGUUCUGCAAUCUCAAAUAACAAAUUUUUUGUAAGCUUAAUUUUUAUAGUUUCCUAUGCAUUUUCUGUUCUUAAAUCUGUCAUGAUUGCAGAGGCUGAGAGAGAGAAGCGAACAAUAUAGCUGAAUUGUCUUUGUUGCAGAUACUAAGGAAGCAAUUGAUGAGGUCUUGUUGAAGGGAAGCAGCAUUUCUUUCCAAUGCUAAUUUCUUCUCAUUUAUAAGAUUGACCUUUUUCUCGGAGCCUAUGGUUGAAGCCUCUUAGGAUUGUACUUAAUUCUUUCCUGCCGCGAUGUUUUGCCCUUGUUCAAAGCCUUUUGGAAGAUUUUUCGGCAACCAAGUUGGAGUCAAGCCUACAGCUCGCCUCAUGUGGUUUUUUCGCUUUUGGACUUUGCCAUGCUCGCGAGGGAAGUGGGGACGCUGCUGUGCAGCCCACGCAGCAGCAUCUGUUGUGCGGCAAUUUGGGCCUAUUCAUCCAAACCGUUCACAUUUUAGAAUACGUCAAGUAGAACAUGUCUGCAAAAAAUCAAGUUAAUCGGAUAUCAUUUACCUAUUCAUUCACUCACAUUAGUAUUCAUUUUAAUUAAGCUAAAAUACAUUUGUAUUUAUUUUUGUAGAUACAAAUGUGAGUGGAUGAAUGAGUAAACGAUAUCCGAUUAACUUGAUUUUUUGCAGGCAUAUUCAACUUGAUGUAUUCUAAAAUAUAAACGGUUUGGAUCAUCAAAAUGAGUCUCGAAAUGGGCUCAAAUUGCCACACAGCAUACGCUGCUGGGGGGCUGCGCAGCAGCGUCCCCAUUGUGGCUAGGGGGAUCCUGAAUCUUGCCCUCGGAUUGUGAUGAUCUUUUGUUGAUUUGUGUCCUAGCCUUGUGUUGUCAAUCUUAUUCUAUUAGUUGAGGUCUAUUUCUAAUUGCUCGUUCUUUGUUUGCCUCUUAUAGUUAGAAGUUGCUCACCUCAUGUGGUUUUUUCCCUUUUGGACUUGUAUUGAGUUCUAUAUUUUUUUUGGUAUUAAAAUUCUUUGUGCUCAUUGUCCAUUCUAUUCUUUGUAUUGAA